UACAGAGGUCCCAAGCGUUGUUCGGAAUUACUGGGCGUAAAGGGCUCGUAGGCGGCCAACUAAGUCAGACGUGAAAUCCCCAGGCUCAACCUGGGAACUGCGUCUGAUACUGGAUGGCUUGAAUCCGGGAGAGGGAUGCAGAAUUCCAGGUGUAGCGGUGAAAUGCGUAGAUAUGCGGAGGAACACCGAUGGCGAAGGCAAUCCCCUGGGCCUGCACUGACGCUCAUGCACGAAAGCGUGGGGAGCAAACAGG
rnacentral:rRNA from 1 species